ACUCAAAUGAAUAGACGGGGGCCAGCACAAGCGGUGGAACAUGUGGUUCAAUUCGAUGCUACGCGAAGAACCUUACCCAGGCUUGACAUGCAAGAAGUAGGAACCUGAAAGGGGGACGACUCGUAACCAGUCGAGAGCUUGCACAGGUGCUGCAUGGCUGUCGUCAGCUCGUGCCGUGAGGUGUUGGCUUAAGUGCCAAAACGAGCGCAACCAUCGCCCAUUGUUGCGACCGGGUUCGAAAGGAUGCCGAGCACUCUAUGGGGACUGCCAGCGACGAGCUGGAGGAAGGUGGUGAUGACGUCAAGUCCGUACGGCCUUUAUGUCUGGGGCGACACACGUGUUACAAUGGGGCUGACAACGCGCUGCAAGCUCGCGAGAGCAAGCUAAUCGCUAAAACGGUCCCUCAGUUCAGAUCGCAGGCUGCAACUCGCCUGCGUGAAGCUGGAAUCGCUAGUAACGGCGGAUCAGCUACGCCGCCGUGAAUACGUUCCCUGGCCUUGUACACACCGCCCGU
rnacentral:rRNA from 1 species